GAUGAACGCUAGCGGCAGGCUUAAUACAUGCAAGUCGUGGGGCAGCAGGACUGUAGCAUUACAUUUGCUGGCGACCGGCAAACGGGUGCGGAACACGUACGCAACUUACCCUGAACUGGGGGGUAGCCGGGGGAAACCCGAAGCAAUUCCCCGUUAUAUACUGGAGUGGCAUCCCUUUAUUAUUAAAGCCCCGGCGGUUUGGGAGAGGCGUUGGGCUGUUUAGGUAGUUGGUUGAGGUAACGGCACACCAAGCCUACGUCCAGUAACUGGUGUGAGAGUACGACCAGUCACACGGGCACUGAGACACGGACCCGACUGCUACGGGAGGGAGCAGUAUGUUAGAUUAGGCAAGGGAGCCAACUCUAACCCAGCCAUGCCGGUGGGGGGAGGAAGGCCCUCUGGGUUGUAAACUUCUUUUAUAGAGGACGAGACCUGUGUAUUCUUACGGAGUUGACGGUACCCAAGGAAUAAGCACCGGCUAACUUCGUG
rnacentral:rRNA from 1 species